rnacentral:rRNA from 1 species
UACGUAGGGCGCAAGCGUUAUCCGGAAUUAUUGGGCGUAAAGAGCUCGUAGGCGGUUUGUCGCGUCUGCCGUGAAAGUCCGGGGCUCAACUCCGGAUCUGCGGUGGGUACGGGCAGACUAGAGUGAUGUAGGGGAGACUGGAAUUCCUGGUGUAGCGGUGAAAUGCGCAGAUAUCAGGAGGAACACCGAUGGCGAAGGCAGGUCUCUGGGCAGUAACUGACGCUGAGGAGCGAAAGCGUGGGGAGCGAACGGG